rnacentral:rRNA from 1 species
UAAUACGUAGGGGGCGAGCGUUGUCCGGAAUUACUGGGCGUAAAGAGCACGUAGGCGGCUUGUUAAGAUGGGCGUGAAAUCUCCGGGCUCACCUCGGAGGGGUCGUCCGUGACUGGCAGGCUUGGGUCUGGGAGAGGCGAGUGGAAUUCCCGGUGGAGCGGUGAAAUGCGUAGAGAUCGGGAGGAACACCAGUGGCGUAGGCGACUCGCUGGGCCAGUACCGACGCUGAGGUGCGAAAGCGUGGGGAGCGAACCGGAUUAGAUACCCGGGUAGUCCACGCCCUAAACGAUGGGUACUAGGCGUGGGGGGUAUCGACCCCCUCCGUGCCGGAGCUAACGCGCGAAGUACCCCGCCUGGGGAGUACGGCCGCAAGGUUG